rnacentral:rRNA from 1 species
CAAGUCGAACGCGAAAAUCCCGCAAGGGAUUAGUAGAGUGGCAAACGGGUGAGUAACACGUGGGUGACCUGCCUUCGAGUGGGGGAUAACGUCCCGAAAGGGACGCUAAUACCGCAUGACAUCCUGCCUUUGAAGAGGUGGAGCUUAAAGCCGGGGAUCGCAAGACCUGGCGCUUGAAGAGGGGCCCGCGCCUGAUUAGCUAGUUGGUGAGGUAACGGCUCACCAAGGCAACGAUCAGUAUCCGGCCUGAGAGGGCGGACGGACACACAGGGACUGAGACACGGCCCAGACUCCUACGGGAGGCAGCAGUGGGGAAUUGUUCGCAAUGGGCGCAAGCCUGACGACGCAACGCCGCGUGGAGGAUGAAGACCUUCGGGUCGUAAACUCCUUUCGAUCGAGACGAACGGCCCCUGGGCUAAUCACCAGGGGAGUGACGGUACCGAGAGAAGAAGCCCCGGCUAACUCCGUGCCAGCAGCCGCGGUAAUACGGGGGGGGCAAGCGUUGUUCGGAAUUACUGGGCGUAAAGGGCUCGUAGGUGGCCAACUAAGUCAUACGUGAAAUCCCUCGGCUUAACCGGGGAACUGCGUCUGAUACUGGAUGGCUUGAGGUUGGGAGAGGGAUGCGGAAUUCCAGGUGUAGCGGUGAAAUGCGUAGAUAUCUGGAGGAACACCGGUGGCGAAGGCGGCAUCCUGGACCAAUUCUGACACUGAGGAGCGAAAGCCAGGGGAGCAAACGGGAUUAGAUACCCCGGUAGUCCUGGCCCUAAACGAUGAAUGCUUGGUGUGGCGGGUAUCGAUCCCUGCCGUGCCGAAGCUAACGCAUUAAGCAUUCC